CCAACGUGGAGUUUCGAGCUUGCCGUCCCGCAGUGUCACACAGUCACCCACGUGGGGCUCGUCCCGAGAAGGAACGUCUCCUGAGGUUGCACGCAGCACCCCGCACAGCCUUCCGCUGGCUGCCUAGGCGGGAGGUGGCACGUCCUCACAGGCACUGCCUUCCCUGCCCCUCACAGAACAUCACCGUAGCAGAGGGCACACAGAGGAUAUGAGCCCAGCCUGGUGCUGACUGCACCGUGCCCCGCUCCUCAGCCAUCAUCGCCAUCUUGGCCACCUCAGCACGUCACAGGGAUCAAAGCAAACCUCUCUGAACGGUUCUGCUCUCACCACUAGUUACACAGUUUCCAUUCAGGAGGAAGCUACAAGGCACAGGCUAGUUCUUGCUGGCAGCACAGCCAGCACCGUUCUGAGCCGGGAUCUCUCUUUGGAGGCCACUGCAGCAGGAGCCGGGGCAGGCUGGGGAUGUGUGGUAGCAGCCGUUGGCACAGGGUUACCUCAGCGUCCUGUCAGGGCACUGAGCGCCACAGAGCAGAUGGGAUCCCAGUCUUCCCGCCAUUUCUAUGACUGUAAAACUUUCCCAAAGUGCAAAAUUUCAUGCUUUUUGGAGAAGAAUCAAAGCUACCAGGCUUUCUUGAUGAAAAUAUUAAUUGCUAGUGCCAGGCAAGGACCUGGGCUCCAGAAGCUCCCCCAGCCGUGGCCUCAGCACCUGGUGAAAUGGCGAUGCUCAUCCUCUUUGCUCUCCUCCGCCUCCAGACGUCCCAGCCAGUUAUCUGAGGUAAUGAAGGUAUGACAAGAAUGAAAGCCUCAUACCAUCAAGCAGGCAAGAUUCCUACUGCUCAUGGGACAGUGUGACCCAAAGCUCAGUGUCAGUGCUGAGAUAAGGGCUACAAACCUUACCAGAUCCUCUGCUGAAGAAGUCAUGGAAGAUGGUGAG
ensembl:lncRNA